CGUGCCAGCAGCCGCGGUAAUACGAAGGGCCCGAGCGUUAUUCAGAAUCACUGGGCUUAAAGCGUGCGCAGGCGGAAACGUCAGUGUCUUGUGAAAUCNCACGGCUCAACCGUGGAAUUGCAGGGCAUACUGCGUUUCUUGAGGUCGGUAGAGGUCGCCGGAACUCUAGGUGUAGCGGUGAAAUGCGUAGAUAUCUAGAGGAACGCCGAAGGUGAAGACAGGCGACUGGGCCGAUUCUGACGCUCAGGCACGAAAGCGUGGGGAGCAAACAGGAUUAGAUACCCUGGUAGUCCACGCCGUAAACGUUGUGCACUAGAUCCUGGAGGUACUGACACCGUCGGGGUCGAAGAUAACUUGCUAAGUGCACCGCCUGGGGAGUACGGUCGCAAGGCUAAAACUCAAAGGAAUUGACGGGGGCUCACACAAGCGGUGGAGCAUGUGGCUUAAUUCGAGGCAUCGCGAAGAACCUUACCUGGGUUUGACAUGCUUGGAUUAGCCUGUCGAAAGACAGGUGACGCUAAUUCUAGUGGAACUUGCACAGGUGCUGCAUGGCUGUCGUCAGCUCGUGCUGUGAAGUGUCGGGUUAAGUCCCUUAACGAGCGAAACCCCUGCCGCUAGUUGCCAUCAGGUCAAGCUGAGCACUCUAGCGGGACUGCCGGUGUCAAACCGGAGGAAGGUGGGGAUGACGUCAAGUCCUCAUGGCCUUUAUGCCCAGGGAUGCACACGUGCUACAAUGGUAGGUACAACGCGACGCGAUGCCGCGAGGCGGAGCAAAUCGCAAAAAACCUGCCCCAGUUCGGAUCGCAGUCUGCAACUCGACUGCGGAAGUUGAAUCGCUAGUA
rnacentral:rRNA from 1 species